rnacentral:rRNA from 1 species
UCCGUAGGUGAACCUGCGGAAGGAUCAUUAGUGAAUUUAGAGCGUAACUUCGGUUAGCUCAACCUUCAUUUUCCAACUCUGUGCACUAUUGGGGGACUGGGAGCAAGUAAUUGCUAUUCAGUCUGCGGGUCACUAUUAAACAUUAGUUAAAGUAUGUAUAUAAAAACAAAACAAAAAAACUUUCAACAACGGAUCUCUUGGGUCUCGCAUCGAUGAAGAACGCAGCGAAAUGUGAUAAGUAAUGUGAAUUGCAGAAUUCAGUGAAUCAUCGAAUCUUUGAACGCACCUUGCGCUCUCUGGUAUUCCGGAGAGCAUGUCUGUUUGAGUGUCAUGAACUCUUCAACCUACCGAUUUCUAGUAAAUCGGAUUAGUGUUUGGAUUUUGAACGCUUGCUGGGCUUUAUUGGGGAAGCUCGUUCGUAAAUGAUUAGCAUCUCAUAUUCGAAAAUCGGAUUGACUCAGUGUAAUAGACUAUUCGCUGAGGACGCUCUUUCGGGAGUGGGCGAGUUUUGUAAAGUAGAAGCUUCUAAUUCUAUUAGUCAACUUUAGAUUAGACCUCAGAUCAGGGAGGAUUACCCGCUGAACUUAAGCAUAUCAAUAAGCGGAGGAAAAG